rnacentral:lncRNA from 1 species
GCCAUCCAGUUGGUUUAAAAUGUCCAGAUAUUUGGCCUCUUGCAGACAAGCAGCCUAAUUAAAUCUCUCUUUUUCACUCGGAUGUUUAUCAUUGUUUUGACAAAGUGUAAUAGAAAGAGAACUGGUCAUAGUGUCAGGAGAUUUGAAAAUCCUCAUUAACUCAUUUGCAAACUGCAUGAUUCUGGGUCCAUGAAAUGGUAUCUGAAGGUGUCUAGAGGAUUACUGAAAAUGAAUAAGGAAUACUCCAGUACCCAGUAAUUAUAUCAAGCAUUGCAUAACCCUGAGACUGAUGAAGUGCACCUACACAGGACUGAGGUCUUCGGCCAUUAUUCAGGCAAGGCUGUGACCAGAAUUGACCCAUCUUUAUGGAUAGGAGUCUACACCUGAAAAGUAGCAUUUGAGCUUCCAGAAAGUCUAAGGUGGCAUUCACUGACUCAUAUGUCAUCCUGUGCUCCUGUGUGCCCUCUCCAGAGGCUCCAAGAGUCCUGACACUUACACCUUCUCUUACUCAAAGAAGGUUGCUGAUUUGAUUAUGCUGACAUUCUUCUACAUCUUACAGAUAAAUAAAUCAUCUUGGAUUUUCUAAAAUGGUGUCUGUGUCAUAUUUGUUCAACAAAUGAAGACUAACAUUGGCAAUUGUCAAUUUGAUGAUUGAAUUAG